rnacentral:tRNA from 1 species
GGGGUUGUGGCUCAGUGGUAGAGCACUUGCCUGGCAUGUGUGAGGCCCUGGGUCCGAUCCUCAGCACCG